UCAUGCUUCGUGACGUCUUAUAUAACCCUGUUUUAAAGCAGGAACCAGCUAAAUGAAAUGUGUAUCUCGCAGAACGAAUUACUAUUAUACCUGUAGUACACUUCAACAGGUAUAAGAAACCAAUACAAUUAUUCAAUAGUGAAAGUGGUUCAUUGUCGUGAACAUGUUUAAAACUGCCAGUCUAGUGUUCGUGAAUGAUGGUACCUUGGAAAAGAAAAGUACAAAUAUAGUGCAUGAGUUUCUUGUAACACACUUGACGUUACUGAAGUACGAUGUAGAGAAAUUGGUAUUAACAACUGACGACGAAAAGUUUGUGGCAAGUCAACUUAAUGAGCUUUCAAAGCAAUAUGAUAUUCUUUUAGUUUUAGGCGACAAUAAUACAAUUCUUAAAGCCCUAGCAAGACUGUGUGAUGAAGAUUUAAGCCUUACUGAAAAAGUUGAACCUAAACAUAAAUGUGUUUGUGAUUUGCCAUCCAAAGCAAAAUUACUUACUAGUAAUACACUUACUUAUCCUGUGAUAUAUUUCCAACGGAUCUUUAUUCUUAAGGAAGAAUCUGCCAAAGAUCAAUUUAAGGAAGUUUUGAAAUCUCACUUGGAGCAAUAUAUUGCACCACCAUUAUAUAAGAAGUUCAUUCAAGCAUAUACUAAUGGUAAUACAAAAAGUGUUAUAGAUUCAAUUCAAGAUUUAGUUUCUGUUAAUGUACAUAAAGAACAAGACUUUGUAACUCUUGAAGUGAGCAGUGAACAGCUUACAAAUGUUGUAGAAGUAGAGCAAAUUCUGGCAAGCAGACUUAAUAGACAAUUUCUAUAUUCAUAUUGGGAUCAAGAAUCUUUAAAGAAAGUGUUAGAUAGUGGGGAUCAACAUAUUGUUAAGAGUUUAGAGGUCAUUGAGAGAUGCAUGGCAACAUAUGGACCAGACAACACCUUUCUCAGUUUCAAUGGUGGCAAAGAUUGUACAGUUCUUUUACACUUAGUAUACGCCUUCCUGCAAGUCAAUUAUCCAGACUAUAAGAAGCAGAUCUUCUGUCUCUAUGUACAGGGUAAAGAACCAUUUCCAGAACAAGAAGAAUUCAUCUCACUGUGUCAGAUUUACUAUAAUCUGGAUAUAAUGGUGGUAAAGAGUGGUAUCAAGGAUGCUUUACAAGAGGUUUUGACCACUAGGCCUAACUUAAAGGCUUGUUUUAUGGGUACUAGGAGAACGGAUCCAUAUUCAGAGCAUCUAGACGAUAUGCAGCUUUACUGCCUUUGUAGUGAACCUAGUAUUGGUAGGUCCAUCAAAAUAAAGGGGCUGCGGUGGCUAGGCCACCUAGAAAGAACGAACGAGAUGGAGCCGUCGAAACACAUUUAUAACCAAAGAACGGAUGGAGUAAGAAGAAAAGGAAGGUCCAGAGCACAAUUUAAGGACCAGGUGGAAUAUGACAUACGAGUGUUAAGAGUAAGAUAUUAGAAAACUAAGGUGAAUGAUAGGUAGGAAUGGAAGCUGAUCCUAGAACAGACCAAGACCCAUUAAGGGUUAUAGGGCCAAUAAUGAUGAAUUAGAUGACAGACCCCGAUUGGCCGCAAGUGAUGCGGAUGAAUCCCAUUCUCGAUUGGCACUAUUCCGAUAUAUGGGACUUCCUCCUCUUCUUCAAAAUCCCAUACUGCAAACUGUACGACUUGGGAUUCAC
rnacentral:misc_RNA from 1 species